GCGUCGGUAAUGCAACGGUUCAGCACGCCCCCGGAUAGGGUGGGAUGUGGGUUCGAAUCCUACCUGACGCA